CGGCGAACGGGUGAGUAACACGUGGGUAACCUGCCCCGAUGAUUGGGACAACCCGAGGAAACUCGGGCUAAUACCAAAUGUGACCCUGGCCGUAAGGGCCAGGAGGAAAGGAAGCUUCGGCCUCCGCAUCGGGAUGGGCCCGCGGCCCAUUAGCUUGUUGGUGGGGUAAAGGCCCACCAAGGCGACGAUGGGUAGCUGGUCUGAGAGGACGAUCAGCCACACUGGGACUGAGACACGGCCCAG
rnacentral:rRNA from 1 species